UAGUAAAAAUUUCAUUCAUUUUUACUGUUAAAAUUGACAUUACUAACAAAAUAACCAAACAGUUACACUGCUGUGCUAUAUGUACCUCACUCUGAUAUACAAAAACUAAUUUUUAGCAGUAGAAAUGAAUGAAAUUUUUUACUA
rnacentral:pre_miRNA from 1 species